AUUGAACGCUGGCGGCAGGCCUAACACAUGCAAGUCGAGCGGAUGAAGGGAGCUUGCUCCUGGAUUCAGCGGCGGACGGGUGAGUAAUGCCUAGGAAUCUGCCUGGUAGUGGGGGAUAACGUCCGGAAACGGGCGCUAAUACCGCAUACGUCCUGAGGGAGAAAGUGGGGGAUCUUCGGACCUCACGCUAUCAGAUGAGCCUAGGUCGGAUUAGCUAGUUGGUGGGGUAAAGGCCUACCAAGGCGACGAUCCGUAACUGGUCUGAGAGGAUGAUCAGUCACACUGGAACUGAGACACGGUCCAGACUCCUACGGGAGGCAGCAGUGGGGAAUAUUGGACCAUGGGCGAAAGCCUGAUCCAGCCAUGCCGCGUGUGUGAAGAAGGUCUUCGGAUUGUAAAGCACUUUAAGUUGGGAGGAAGGGCAGUAAGUUAAUACCUUGCUGUUUUGACGUUACCAACAGAAUAAGCACCGGCUAAGUUCGUG
rnacentral:rRNA from 1 species